AUUGAACGCUGGCGGCAGGCCUAACACAUGCAAGUCGAACGAGUGGCGGACGGGUGAGUAAUGUCUGGGACACUGCCUGAUGGAGGGGGAUAACUACUGGAAACGGUAGCUAAUCCCGCAUACCAUCAGAUGUGCCCAGAUGGGAUUAGCUUGUGGGUGGGGUAACGGCUCACCAAGGCGACGAUCCCUAGCUGGUCUGAGAGGAUGACCAGCCAAACGGGAAUGGAGACACGGUCCAGAAUCCUACGGGAGGAAGCAGUGGGGAAUAUUGCACAAGGGGCGCAAGCCGGAUGCAGCCAUGCCGAGUGGAUGAAGAAGGCCUUCGGGUUGUAAAGUACUUUCAGCGGGGAGGCGUUACCCGCAGAAGAAGCACCGGCUAACUCCGUGCCAGCAGCCGCGGUAAUAC
rnacentral:rRNA from 1 species